CUGAACACCACAGUUUGUGUCUGUUACCCCAACAGUAACAUAUGAUGAAGUCAUGUAUCUUAGUUAUUAUAACCAUCACUGCAGGAUUGAUUGCUGGUGAUGACAUCAUUUCUGAUCAACUUGAGUAUUUCAGUCGUCAAGGAGAAUCAGUGACACUGAGCUGCAACUACACAGCAAUCAGUGAAAAUAUUAUCCUGUACUGGUACAGACAGCAAUCUAAUCAGGCACCACAGUUUAUACUCUAUAAAGGUGCCGGGGGAUACAGUAGCUAUGAGAAUACUAUCAAUACCAGGUUUAAACACACUAUAUCCAAGGACGCAACAAAACUCACCAUUGACAGUCUCACCAUAGCAGA